rnacentral:lncRNA from 1 species
CACAUGUUCCCUAGAUAGCUAGUUAGCAUGAUUUAACCUAUCCAAGUUUUGAUAUGGAGUCAACCUUAUUCAUCACUAUAAUGCAUGGUAAAACGAACGACACGAACUAUACAAGAGUAGAGACAUCAAGUGGCAUCUGAAUAUGGUCUAUCACUUGGACUUUGAGGGAGAGAAAUAAAGGAAUAUUGGAGAAUGUUUUUAGUAUGGCAGGCCACAUGAGAUAUAAUCCAAUCCACAGCACAAUUAGCUUCCAGUAGGUUACCACAUUCUUUAUGAAUUACAGCUAUUUUGGAGAGAAUAGUCUCUUUUGAACCAUUUCACUUGAGCUAUUCCACUC